CGGAAGCCGGCGGCGGGAGGGGUGGGAGUUGUAGUCCGAGGACGAGCGAAGCGUUCGCGCAGGCUGGCCCGGGGGAUCGCAGGCACCUGGAUGGGGCACGAGUAAGCCGACCCGCCGCGGCAUGCCUGGGAGCCGCGGGGCGCACGGACAGGGUGCCAAUGUCAGGAUAGGAAGCAGGUGACAGCGAGGGUCCUUUUGUCGUCACUGUCCUCACCUGAAGCAGCCACAGAGAUCCUGGCAAAAGCCAGCAAAGGAAGAAGGAGCCUACCGGGCUGCACAAUGAGGGAGGGGUGUUCCCCGCUUCCUAAUCCAGUGCCUCCUCAUCCAACCACCUCUUCGGAGGACCCCAGGCCAUCCACUUCUGCUAUGGCACUGGAGGAAUUGGACAGUCCCAGGCGACAUGGAAAACUACAGAGGAAAGGAACUGAGACCAGAGGUGCUUCAUCAGCUCUGGCACCAACAUCCCAGGCAAGGGAAGGAAGUACCAGUAUGGAGGCCUUUCGCCUUUCCCUGGAGGACCUCAGGGUAUCAGUCCUCCAGAACAUGAAAACAAUGAACCGUCGUUUAGAAGCACAGAAUAGAAGACUGUGUGCCCUGGAGGAGUGGAGGGCAGAGUCAGAGGCCCAGAGAAACAGUUUGCCCUAGCCAUCCACGUUCUCCUAUCCUCCUCCUUCCCCCAGUUUCCAUUUGUUUUAUGUUUUUGCAUAUAUUUAAGUAAACCUUUUUGGGAAGGGGAGUCAAACAAA